rnacentral:ncRNA from 1 species
CGUCCCCUACUCCAUUUCCAUAGGGGCCGGGAUCGAACAGAAGGAGGAAGCAGGCCGCCGGCCGGCGGUGCGGCAGUGUGGAGACCUGCCGUAAUUUCUCAGGGGACGCCCCCCUGUUGGAGAGGCUUUCGUGCGGAGGCGCGGAGGCCACGGUCAAGAGUAUGUC